CACGUAGGGGGCAAGCGUUGUCCGGAUUUAUUGGGCGUAAAGAGCGUGUAGGCGGCUAGGUAGGUCCGUUGUGAAAACUCGAGGCUCAACCUCGAGACGCCGAUGGAAACCAUCUGGCUAGAGUCCGGAAGAGGAGAGUGGAAUUCCUGGUGCAGCGGUGAAAUGCGCAGAUAUCAGGAGGAACACCGAUGGCGAAGGCAGGUCUCUGGGCCACUACUGACGCUGAGAAGCGAAAGCAUGGGGAGCGAACAGG
rnacentral:rRNA from 1 species